rnacentral:rRNA from 1 species
AUGAGCCCAAGUGGGAUUAGGUAGUUGGUGGGGUAAAGGCCUACCAAGCCUGCGAUCUCUAGCUGGUCUGAGAGGAUGACCAGCCACACUGGAACUGAGACACGGUCCAGACUCCUACGGGAGGCAGCAGUGGGGAAUAUUGCGCAAUGGGGGGAACCCUGACGCAGCCAUGCCGCGUGAAUGAAGAAGGCCUUCGGGUUGUAAAGUUCUUUCGGUAAUGAGGAAGGGAUGUUGUUUAAUAGAUGGCAUCAUUGACGUUAAUUACAGAAGAAGCACCGGCUAACUCCGUGCCAGCAGCCGCGGUAAUACGGAGGGUGCGAGCGUUAAUCGGAAUAACUGGGCGUAAAGGGCACGCAGGCGGACUUUUAAGUGAGAUGUGAAAUCCCCGAGCUUAACUUGGGAACUGCAUUUCAGACUGGGAGUCUAGAGUACUUUAGGGAGGGGUAGAAUUCCACGUGUAGCGGUGAAAUGCGUAGAGAUGUGGAGGAAUACCGAAGGCGAAGGCAGCCCCUUGGGAAUGUACUGACGCUCAUGUGCGAAAGCGUGGGGAGCAAACAGGAUUAGAUACCCUGGUAGUCCACGCUGUAAACGCUGUCGAUUUGGGGAUUGGGCUAUAUGCUUGGUGCCCGAAGCUAACGUGAUAAAUCGACCGCCUGGGGAGUACGGCCGCAAGGUUAAAACUCAAAUGAAUUGACGGGGGCCCGCACAAGCGGUGG